rnacentral:rRNA from 1 species
AGUCAAUGGGCUGAGCUAAACCCAGAGGCGCAGUGAAAGCGGGGCGUACCCUUUGCGGUCGCCGUGGGAGGAUGGCCCUUUCGCGGGGCCCGCACUCCCGGGGCGCCUCGGCCUAGGCCGCAGGCGCACCCCGAGCGUACACGUUGGGACCCGAAAGAUGGUGAACUAUGCCUGGUCAGGACGAAGUCAGGGGAAACCCUGAUGGAGGUCCGCAGCGAUUCUGACGUGCAAAUCGAUCGUCAGAGCUGGGUAUAGGGGCGAAAGACUAAUCGAACCAUCUAGUAGCUGGUUCCCUCCGAAGUUUCCCUCAGGAUAGCUGGCGCUUAUUUGGACUGGGACGAGUCCCAUCCGGUAAAGCGAAUGAUUAGAGGCCUUGGGGCCGAAACGACCUCAACCUAUUCUCAAACUUUAAAUGGGUGGGAUCUCCGGCUUGCUUGACUGAAGCCGUGAGAGCCGCCGGAUCAAAGUGCCAAGUGGGCCAUUUUUGGUAAGCAGAACUGGCGCUGUGGGAUGAA